CAAGAAGAUAGGCGGAAGUCAUAGCUAACGAUGGGCAAUACAUUGGUUAAUGUACUCAUUCUAAUUAUUAUUAAAUGAAUGUUUCUUUGAACCAAAAAAAUUCCGGAAAUUAAUGCCUACACCCAAUAUGUAACAUAUAUAGUUAUUUAAAAAAGAGUCAUUCUUUAUUAUGAAAUUGUACAAAGUAUGCAUACAGUUAAUUAAUCUUUUUUCUGGUUUCCGGAGUUAAAAAUUGGUACUUGUAUUGGAACUGGAAUUGCCUGAUGUAUAUUUUGAUAAAUGUAAGUUUUUUUUGUAUUUGGAUCGUAGGUGCCUGAGGUGUAUGACACAUGUCCACUGGAACCUCCAUUUUCACCAAAUCGUGAUUCUCUAUAAAAGAAAGUGUUUAAAGAGCAUAUAAUUAUUAUUCUUCGUUUAGAUUUAGCGAUUUAUCUCACAAAUGUCCAUUUCCAACGGGCCCCUGACUUUGGAAUGAAGAUGAGGUUUGCUGGAACAUAAUUGGGCCAUUUCCACUUGAAGUAGUGCUACUACUACUAGUGCUGCCACUGAAUGAUUGCCGUUUCAAUCGGUGACGAUACUAUUGUCAUUAAACAUUUAGCAGAAUGGAAUGAUUAAAGUUUAAAGAAAUGUAAAGAGGGGAAAAAUGUUUGACAUUUCUGUGAUCGAUUUUUUGGCGAAGGAAAAUCUUUCAAUUUGCUAGGGUUUUUUUAGGCAAAUGCUCUGAGACACCCCCUCCCCCCCUAGGAACAUUUUUGAAUUUGUGCGAGACCAAAUCGAAAAAGUUACCCCUUUACAUUUUUGGAAAAUAUUGAAAUUACCCUCCCCCCUUGGAUCGCCAACUCCAGAAGCUAUGCCGAUAACAUCUAUUCGUCUUACAAUUGAGAGCCUGAAACCCAAAACAAGUUAUAAAAAUUCUUUUCGGAAAAAAAGCAUAAGAAUGUAUUUUAAAUGAAAAAUACGAUAGAAAAAAACUGAGAGUUAAAAGAGCACAUACAGAACUGAGAACUGAAACAGAAUAUAAUUUCUUAAAGGCCUUAUUUGCUAGACACACGAUCGCGAACGAUUAUAAUCGUGGACGAUUUUUUUCGAAAUCGGUGAAAAAUCGGUCGCCGAUUAUGAAAAACCCUUUGCCGAUCAAGAUCGUGAACGAUUUAUAACAAUCGGUAGACGAUUGAAAUCGUCCACGAUUACGAUCGUGUGCUUAGCAAAUAAGGCCUUAAAGGCGACAAAACAAACAAGCGAUAUGUUAUAUUUUAACUCUCAGUUUUUAUUCUUCUCAUUUUUGCUCUGAAAGUAAAUAUGUUUUUAUUUGACUCCGAAAAAUAUUAUAUUUAGCUUUCGUCACAAUGCGUUGCAUUUUUUCUCUUUCAUGUAAUAUGACACGAGAUUAACUUAGUGAAUUGUUUGUCAACAUUCUCUCUUUCAAAAAUGAUUUGGAUACAACGAGGCAUCUUUUAACUUUCGCCGUUUUAAUGUGUGAUCGAAGGAACAGCGUUUUUUACUCCAGUUUGAUUUUAAAUAGUACGAAUUGAAAAUCAGUUUUUGUUGGAGCACAUCAAUUUUGGUGCAGUACUUUCCCGAACUCGUACAGAUUGAUAGCACUUUGAACACUUUUUCAGCAAUUUGUCUAUUGGCUUUUGUUGUAUGCGCCAUUACAAUAUUCUUUUGAGAUAUUUUUUAUACAAAAGCGGUCUACGUACACGUUUUUUCGAUCGUUCAGUAGAUAUUCACUAGCCUAUUUGGCUAAUAAUAAUGUGAACUGAAAAACAAUGAUUUGAAAUUCAAAUUUUGAAUUAAGAAAUCGACAAAUAGUUUUGUCGUUGCAGAUCAAUUUAAAAAAAAAAUAAGAUUUUACAGAUACGCAUAAUACACAACAUGAAAUUCGGUGCGAAUACACCAGCAUAUUUGUAUAUCUUCGGUGUGUUAGCGAAUAACGGUAAAUUGCUGUUGGAUUUACACUGGUCAAUGCAUAAAUAUAGGAAUCACAGUAUACUCAUCGUAUCGCAGUAGCGACGUGAAAUUAGAGCAUUUGUUUUUGUUUAUUUUAUUGCUUUGUAAACAAAUUCUUCUAUUACAUUUUGUUCUAUACGAAUCCAAAUAAAAUGUUUUUGACGAAAAGCAAAUAUAAUAUUUAUCGGUGCCAAAUAAACACAAAUACAUUUUCAGUGCUAAAAUGAGAAGAAUAAAAACUGAGAGUUAAAAUACAACAUACGGAAUUGAGAGUAAAAACAGAAAAUCGAUAUAUGCUACUUUUACUCUCAGUAUUCUAUGUGUUGUUUUAACUCUCAGUUUUCUAUAUUCUCGUUUUGCGCUCAAUAAUUUCUUAUGCUCUUUUUCCGAAAAGAAUUUUUAUAAUUUGUUUUGGGUUUCAGGCUCUCAAUUAAUGUUUUCUUUAGUAUGUAUAAAAAUAUAAUACUUUCUUUUUAUUUAAUUUUAUUUUAAUUACCUCGAUAGAUUCGCCUUGUACCUGAGACUUGCCUAAGAAGAUCCAAAAAGAUUUUUUGUUAUUAUUAAUUUAAAUUCGAAUACAUAAAAAGUAGUUUUAUUUUUUCUCUACUUUUUACUAAAAUUUUUCUUUUAUAACUACUUUAUUGUAAAAGUUGUAGUCACAUAACUGUGUUAAAUACGGCAAAUUUCCCAUAUUGGAACUGAUUUUAAAUUUGAUUAAAAAGCAACGAAAAAAAUCCAUCAUUGUAUAAUAAUAAUAAUGAAAAAUACCGAUGAUGUGGUAACAAUGCAUUGAUCGAUAAAUUUGCUUAUGAAUAGUAUUUAUAAAUGAAAUUAUUUUUGUUAAAUUAUCAUUGAUGUUGAAAAAAUAAACAGUAUUAGUGUUGACUAUACGUCGUACACAAAUAAUGUGGA